rnacentral:rRNA from 1 species
AGCGAAAGGAUAGAUACCCGGUAGUCUGCCGUAAUCGAUGACAUAGGGUUCGGAGGAAUCGACCCUCGUGUCGUAGCUACGCGUUAAGUGUUCGGCCUGGGGAGUACGCACGCAAGUGUGAAACUCAAAGGAAUUGACGAGAGCGCACAAGCGGUGGAGUAUGUGGUUUAAUUCGAUGCAACGCGAAGAUCCUUAGCAGGGUUUGACAUCCUGCGAACCUCUUAGAAAUUUGAGGGUGCCUUCGGGAAUGCAGUGACAGGUGGUGCAUGGCUGUCGUCAGCUCGUGUCGUGAGAUGUUGCUUAAGUCCCGCAACGAGCGCAACCCACGUUUUUAGUUGCCAGCAUUUAGUUGAGCACUCUAGAAAGACCGCUGGUGAUAAACCGGAGGAAGGUGUGGAUGACGUCAAGUCAUCAUGCCCCUUACACCCUGGGCUACACACGUACUACAAUGCUACGGACAAAGGGCAGCAAACUCGCGAGAGCUAGCAAAUCCCAUAAACCGUGGCUCAGUUCAGAUCGUAGGCUGCAACUCGCCUACGUGAAGUAGGAAUCGCUAGUAAUCGCAGGUCAGCAUACUGCGGUGAAUACGUUCCCGGGCCUUGUACACACCGCCCGUCACACCAUGGAAGUUGGCCAUGCCCGAAGUCGUUACUCCAACCCUUGUGGAGGAGGACGCCGAAGGUGGGGCUAAUGACUGGGGUGAAGUCGUAACAAGGUAA